rnacentral:rRNA from 1 species
GACGAACGCUGGCGGCGUGCCUAAUACAUGCAAGUCGAGCGAAUUUCAUUGAGAGCUUGCUUUCAAUGGAGUUAGCGGCGGACGGGUGAGUAACACGUAGGUAACCUGCCUGCAAGACCGGGAUAACAUUCGGAAACGAAUGCUAAUACCGGAUACGCAAUUCUCUCGCAUGAGGGGAUUGGGAAAGGCGGAGCAAUCUGCCGCUUGUAGAUGGACCUGCGGCGCAUUAGCUAGUUGGUGGGGUAACGGCUCACCAAGGCGACGAUGCGUAGCCGACCUGAGAGGGUGAUCGGCCACCCUGGGCCUGAGACACGGCCCAGACUCCUACGGGAGGCAGCAGUAGGGAAUCUUCCGCAAUGGACGGAAGUCUGACGGAGCAACGCCGCGUGAGUGAUGAAGGUUUUCGGAUCGUAAAGCUCUGUUGCCAGGGAAGAACAGCCUGGAGAGUAACUGCUCCAGGUGUGACGGUACCUGAGAAGAAAGCCCCGGCUAACUACGUGCCAGCCGCCGCAGUAA